UUUUAAAGUUCGUAAUAGUGUUUUAGUAAAAUAAAUAAAUAAAGUUGAGAGACGUUCACCAAUCAUUAGCUGAAAGAGCAUAAAUGGAGGAAGAUCUUCCGUAAAACCACUUCAAAUAAGAGAACCUCUUUAUUUCUCUAUAGUAAAAGUCAAACUUGAGAAAAUAAGUUCAUUUUGAAAAUUUCACAACAAUAAUCCACGUCACAUUAAGCAAAAUCAAAGUGAAUCUUACCAAUAAUUGCAUUUAUUGUUAGGUUCUGUAUUUUGUGAUUGACUGUAUUUUGUUAAAACAAGUGAUAUAGAAAGAUAUUGGACACGAUGUCUUGACAUGCUUGUACGAUAUCUUGGCGUACUGUUGUUUCAGUUUUUUGGAAGAUUUGUUUUUCAGCGUGUGUUUAGUGAAAAUUCUUUGAUGAUUUGAUUCACGCAUUCUACGGUUCAAAGUACUUAAUUUAGAAGCUCAAAGAUCGGUUCCAGCUGUGCAAUGUUUCCUAAGAAUGAUUGUCAAAAUAUUUAAGGAGACAUUAGACCAGAUUUGAUUUGAUUCUGUAGAAAAUUGUGCAGAAUGAAUGUCGAGAUAUUUAAAGAAAUAUUUGAUUUGAUUAUGCAGAAGAUUGUGCAGAAUGGAUGUCGAAAUAUUUAAGGAAAUAUUAGAUUUGAUCUUACAAAAGAUUGUGCAGAAUGGAUGUCAAAACAUUUAAGGAAACAUUAGAUUUGAUUUUGCAGAAUGGAUGUCAAAACAUUUAAGAAGACAUCAUAUUUGAUUUGUUCAUAUUUAAUUAGAUUUGAUUUUUUUUGGUCUGCUGAUUUAUUAUCCCGGAGCCCAUGCUAUUCUGAGGCUAUUUAAAGGAUGAUUCUAAAUCUAAGAAGACAAAUAAGUUGCGUAUGUAAUAGUCUCUGUUAGGGUUUAGUAUGUUCAUUGUUAUUUGUGAGUCAUUAUUGUAUCACUUAGAUGCUUGAAUUGGAUUGAGUUUUUGAGUUGUGAUUGUGAAUUACUCAUGAGCUUUUAAGCAAGACUGAAUUCUGUUUUAUUGGAAGUGUAUCUUCUAUUUAUUGUUAGAAGUUGUUAUCAUUGUUGUGUGAUUGAAGGGGAGGGAGAAUGCUCUCAUAUCUAGGAGAGUCUUAGAUAGAAAUUCCAAGGGUAGUGAUUAGGUGAGAAGUUUGUAAAACUAAAGGUUGUUUAGAACUUCAAACUAAUAUUAUUAUAGUAGAUUUCCUUUCAGACUUGGAUUUCCCCAGAUGUAGGCAACAUUGCACCGAACUGGGUUAACAAAUGACACGUGUUAUUUA
rnacentral:lncRNA from 1 species